AGCGAACGCUGGCGGUAGGCCUAACACAUGCAAGUCGAACGGCAGCACAGUAAGAGCUUGCUCUUACGGGUGGCGAGUGGCGGACGGGUGAGGAAUACAUCGGAAUCUACUUUUUCGUGGGGGAUAACGUAGGGAAACUUACGCUAAUACCGCAUACGACCUACGGGUGAAAGCAGGGGAUCUUCGGACCUUGCGCGAUUGAAUGAGCCGAUGUCGGAUUAGCUAGUUGGCGGGGUAAAGGCCCACCAAGGCGACGAUCCGUAGCUGGUCUGAGAGGAUGUUCAGCACACUUGGAAUUGGACAAGGGUCCAGACCCUAAGGGAGGGCACAGGGGGGGAAUAUUGGACAAGGGGGGAAACCUGGACCAGGCAAUACGGGGUGGGUAAAAAGGCCUUUCGGUUGGUAAAGCCUUUUGGUUGGGAAAAAAAAGAGGAAGUUAAUAACCCGGUGUUCUGACGGGAACCAAAGAAUAAGCACCGGCUAACUUCGUU
rnacentral:rRNA from 1 species